GGUUCAUUGGGGUAAUGGUUAUCCUUCCCGACUGUCUCUCGGGAGAUACGAGUUCGAUUCUCGUAUGAACCGCUA
rnacentral:tRNA from 1 species